UCAAAUGAACACUAUCUGCUCUGUCCUUUACGUGUAUUAUGUUAAUCUUCCCAAAGAAUGUGUGACCUGCCAAAAUGCUGUGAGCUGAGGAGGAAAAGCCAGCAAAAGAGGCUGUCGAACACUCAUGGAGUUAGGGGACAUUUAGAGGGACCAGUGCCUCUGAAGAGAAAGCAGAAGAGGCUUUCAAGUAGAAUGGAGCUGUCAAACAUGUACAAUAAUAAAGAUAAUUUAAGAGAAUGAAA